CAACUCGCCUGCAUGAAGUCGGAAUUGCUAGUAAUCGCAGAUCAGCAUGCUGCGGUGAAUACGUUCCCGGGCCUUGUACACACCGCCCGUCACACCAUGGGAGUCGGUAACACCCGAAGUCGGUAGCCUAACCGUAAGGAGGGCGCCGCCGAAGGUUGGGAUUGAUGACUGGGGUGAAGUCGUAACAAGGUACC
rnacentral:rRNA from 1 species